rnacentral:sRNA from 3 species
GCUCAGCGACCCAACGGCUUGUCCGAUUCCCGGGCAUGGGGUCAAUCCCAUCGCCAGCGGCUCGGCAGAUGU